AUUGAACGCUGGCGGAAUGCUUUACACAUGCAAGUCGAGCGGCAGCACGGGGGCAGCCCUGGUGGCGAGUGGCGAACGGGUGAGUAAUACAUCGGAACGUGCCCGGUCGUGGGGGAUAACGUAGCGAAAGUUACGCUAAUACCGCAUACGAUCUGAGGAUGAAAGCGGGGGACCUUCGGGCCUCGCGCGAUCGGAGCGGCCGAUGUCAGAUUAGGUAGUUGGUGGGGUAAAGGCCUACCAAGCCGACGAUCUGUAGCUGGUCUGAGAGGACGACCAGCCACACUGGGACUGAGACACGGCCCAGACUCCUACGGGAGGCAGCAGUGGGGAAUUUUGGACAAUGGGCGCAAGCCUGAUCCAGCCAUUCCGCGUGCAGGACGAAGGCCUUCGGGUUGUAAACUGCUUUUGUACGGAACGAAAAGGCUCUGGCUAAUACCUGGGGCUCAUGACGGUACCGAAAGAAUAAGCACCGGCUAACUACGUG
rnacentral:rRNA from 1 species